rnacentral:rRNA from 1 species
GACGAACGCUGGCGGCGUGCCUAAUACAUGCAAGUCGAGCGGACGGAUGGGAGCUUGCUCCCAGACCGUCAGCGGCGGACGGGUGAGUAACACGUGGGCAACCUGCCUGUAAGACUGGGAUAACUCCGGGAAACCGGGGCUAAUACCGGAUAACUCUUUCCCUCACAUGAGGGAAAGCUGAAAGAUGGCAUCUCGCUAUCACUUACAGAUGGGCCCGCGGCGCAUUAGCUAGGUGGUGAGGUGACGGGUCACCAAGGCGACGAUGCGUAGCCGCCCUGAGAGGGUGAUCGGCCACACGGUGACUGAGGAACGGCACACACUCCUACAGGAGGAAGCAGUAGGGACUCUUACGCAAUGGACGAAAGUCUGACGGAGCAACGCCGCGUGAGUCAUGAAGGUUUUCGGAUCGUAAAACUCUGUUGUCAGGGAAGAACAAGUACCGGAGUAACUGCCGGUACAUUGACGGUACCUGACCAGAAAGCCACGGCUAACUCCGUG